GAUGUGUAGGAUAGGUGGGAGGCUUUGAAGUGUGGACGCCAGUCUGCAUGGAGCCGACCUUGAAAUACCACCCUUUAAUGUUUGAUGUUCUAACGUGGACCCGUGAUCCGGGUUGCGGACAGUGUCUGGUGGGUAGUUUGACUGGGGCGGUCUCCUCCUAAAGAGUAACGGAGGAGCACGAAGGUUGGCUAAUCCUGGUCGGACAUCAGGAGGUUAGUGCAAUGGCAUAAGCCAGCUUGACUGCGAGCGUGACGGCGCGAGCAGGUGCGAAAGCAGGUCAUAGUGAUCCGGUGGUUCUGAAUGGAAGGGCCAUCGCUCAACGGAUAAAAGGUACUCCGGGGAUAACAGGCUGAUACCGCCCAAGAGUUCAUAUCGACGGCGGUGUUUGGCACCUCGAUGUCGGCUCAUCACAUCCUGGGGCUGAAGUAGGUCCCAAGGGUAUGGCUGUUCGCCAUUUAAAGUGGUACGCGAGCUGGGUUUAGAACGUCGUGAGACAGUUCGGUCCCUAUCUGCCGUGGGCGCUGGAGAACUGAGGGGGGCUGCUCCUAGUACGAGAGGACCGGAGUGGACGCAUCACUGGUGUUCGGGUUGUCAUGCCAAUGGCACUGCCCGGUAGCUAAAUGCGGAAGAGAUAAGUGCUGAAAGCAUCUAAGCACGAAACUUGCCCCGAGAUGAGUUCUCCCUGAGACUUUAGGUCUCCUGAAGGAACGUUGAAGACGACGACGUUGAUAGGCCGGGUGUGUAAGCGCAGCGAUGCGUUGAGCUAACCGGUACUAAUGAACCGUGAGGCUUAACCUUACAACGCCGAAG
rnacentral:rRNA from 1 species